rnacentral:rRNA from 1 species
UCCUACGGGAGGCAGCAGUGGGGAAUAUUGGACAAUGGACCGCAAGUCUGAUCCAGCAAUUCUGUGUGCACGAUGACGUUUUUCGGAAUGUAAAGUGCUUUCAGUCGGGAAGAAGUCAGUGACGGUACCGACAGAAGAAGCGACGGCUAAAUACGUGCCAGCAGCCGCGGUAAUACGUAUGUCGCAAGCGUUAUCCGGAUUUAUUGGGCGUAAAGCGCGUCUAGGCGGCAAGGAAAGUCUGAUGUGAAAAUGCGGAGCUCAACUCCGUAUGGCGUUGGAAACUGCCUUACUAGAGUACUGGAGAGGUAGGCGGAACUACAAGUGUAGAGGUGAAAUUCGUAGAUAUUUGUAGGAAUGCCGAUGGGGAAGCCAGCCUACUGGACAGAUACUGACGCUAAAGCGCGAAAGCGUGGGUAGCAAACAGGAUUAGAUACCCUGGUAGUCC